rnacentral:tRNA from 1 species
GCCUGGCUGGCUCAGGUGGUGGAGCAUGGGACUCUUGAUCUUGCGGUGGUGAGUUCAAGCCCCAUGUUGGGUG